rnacentral:rRNA from 1 species
UUCAUUUGAUGGUCCUUACUACUUGGAUAACCGUAGUAAUUCUAGAGCUAAUACAUGCGCAAAUCCCGACUUCUGGAAGGGACGUAUUUAUUAGAUAAAAGGCCAGCCGGACUUCGGUCCGUCCUGUGUUGAAUCAUGAUAACUUCACGAAUCGCAUGGCCUUGUGCCGGCGAUGUUUCAAUCAAAUAUCUGCCCUAUCAACUUUCGACGGUAGGAUAGAGGCCUACCGUGGUUUUUACGGGUGACGGAGGAUCAGGGUUCGAUUCCGGAGAGGGANCCUGAGAAACGGNUACCACAUCCAAGGAAGGCAGCAGGCGCGUAAAUUGCCCAAUCCCGACACGGGGGAGGCAGUGACAAUAAUUAACAAUACCCGGGCAAUUCAAUGUCUGGGUAAUCGGAAUGANUACAAUCNUAAAUCUCUUAACGAGG